rnacentral:piRNA from 1 species
CUUUCGGAGCUGUGAGGCGACUGCGGGCAG